UACGUAGGCAGCAAGCGUUGUUCGGAAUUACUGGGCGUAAAGCGUGUGUAGGCGGUGCCGUAAGUUUGGCGUGAAAUCUCCCGGCUUAACUGGGAGGGUGCGCCGAAGGCUGCGGUGCUUGAGGGUUGGAGAGGAAAGUGGAAUUUCUGGUGUAGCGGUGAAAUGCGUAGAUAUCUGGAGGAACACCGGUGGCGAAGGCGGCGUUCUGGACUGCAACUGACACUGAGAAACGAAAGCCAGGGUAGCAAACGGG
rnacentral:rRNA from 1 species